rnacentral:rRNA from 1 species
GACGAACGCUGGCGGCGUGCCUAAUACAUGCAAGUCGAGCGAAGUUUUUCUGUUGCUUGCCCUAGAAAAACUUAGCGGCGCACGGGUGAGUAACACGUAAAGAACCUGCCUCAUAGACUGGGACAACUAUUGGAAACGAUAUCUAAUACCGGAUAACAGUAUUUCUCGCAUGUGAGAUAUUUAAAAGUUGGUUAUGCUAACACUAUGAGAUGGCUUUGCGGUGCAUUAGCUAGUUGGUGGGGUAAAGGCCCACCAAGGCGACGAUGCAUAGCCGACCUGAGAGGGUGAUCGGCCACACUGGGACUGAGACACGGCCCAGACUCCUACGGGAGGCAGCAGUAGGGAAUCUUCCGCAAUGGGCGAAAGCCUGACGGAGCAACGCCGCGUGAGUGAAGAAGGAUUUCGGUUCGUAAAGCUCUGUUGUUAGGGAAGAAUGGAUAUGUAGUAAAGAGACAGGUAAGAGACGGUACCUAACCAGAAAGCCACGGCUAACUACGUG